CCAGCCACCAUCAUUUCCAUAAUAGCAAGACGCAAUCAAGGUUAUUUUGUUCUUCCUAAUUCACCAUGAUCUCCAGCCACCAUCAUUUCCAUAGUAGCAAGAUGUAGCCAAAGUUAUUUUGUUCUUCCUAAUUCAUCAUGAUCUCCAGCCACCAUCAUUUUCAUAGUAGCAAGAUGUAGCCAAAGUUAUUUUGUUCUUCCUAAUUCACCAUGAUCUCCAGCCACCAUCAUUUUCAUAGUAGCAAGAUACGGCCACUAUCAUUUCUUUUGUAGCAAGAUAUAGCCACCAUCAUUUUUAUGAUAGUCAAAUUCUGUUAUUUCCUUCCAUUUACUGAAUUUGUCUUAUGUUUCCUCUCUUAUCUAUAUAAAGGGAGGCGACCUAUGUAUUCAAUUCAGAUUUCAAUGAAUGAAAAUGAGUGUUGCUGAUUUCUCUUAUCUAACCCCUGUGUGUUAGUGGCGAGUU
rnacentral:lncRNA from 1 species